UGCCAGCCGCCGCGGUAAUACGGAGGAUGCAAGCGUUAUCCGGAUUCAUUGGGUUUAAAGGGUGCGCAGGCGGGCAUUUAAGUCAGUGGUGAAAUACUGCCGCUUAACGGUAGAACUGCCAUUGAUACUGAAUGUCUUGAGUAUGGUUGAGGUAGGCGGAAUGUGUAGUGUAGCGGUGAAAUGCAUAGAUAUUACACAGAACUCCGAUUGCGAAGGCAGCUUACUAAGCCAUAACUGACGCUGAGGCACGAAAGCGUGGGGAGCGAACAGGAUUAGAUA
rnacentral:rRNA from 1 species